CUGGUGAGUAGACUGGCUCUUCAUAAUUCCUCUCUGGACAAGAAGAGGACUUUGGAUUGCCCACAAGUGCUCCAAACAGCAGCUCCUCAUGAUGGGACUGGAAGAUAAUGGUCUCUGCCUGACAUAUAUUGCAGCUGAUACAAGCUUGUAGCAUUCCUUGAAGAAAAAGUCAAAACGUUGAAGCAGUGGAUGGCCAUACUUCAGUGGAUCUGGCUCCACCAAUGCAGGCACAAACUUGGCUGAAGCAUCUCAGAAACUCAACAUGACAUGCCACCUGUUCUGCAGGACAGAAUGCAGAGAUCCUUGCACAAAGUCUUCUACAGUUUUGGCCAAGACAAUACCUCCUCCAGUUAGAGCUGGGAAUGCAUCCAAAGUAGAUAGUUGGAAUGGUCUACAAGAUCCGUGCUCUUGGGAACUUCAUAACCCACUUCAUAUUUCAUGCCAUAUUACACUGAGGAAGUUGCAUCCUUGGGACCUCAAAAACACCAGUUCUACAUCUGAAUGUAUGAAUACUUUAUUACAGCCAAAGGCUAGAUACUUAAAUUAGCCUACAAUUCCUAUUUGUAUAGGAAUUCAUUGCAAAUUGUAUACAAUGAAAUGUAUGGUUUUAAAAUUAUAAAAUUAAUAAAGCAGUUCCUGGAGAAACAUUCCUAAUACCUAAUAAAA